AAAAUAGAGGCGCGAAACGAAGGGUAGUCUUUUCCCAGGGGACCGGCAGUUCCGGAGAAGAUGAAGGGUCGUUUCGCCGAAGGGAAGCGGUCUGCCGAGCCGUUUUCCUGGCAGUCUGUGCCAAGCGCCGGCUGCUGUCAUGCCAUGCAUGAAGCGCUAUUGA
rnacentral:ncRNA from 1 species